rfam:Vitis vinifera, whole genome shotgun sequence of line PN40024, unoriented chromosome 1, chr1
AAAAAAGCAGGGGCCUGUCGAUUUUUAUGGAUGGUCCUCUCGUAAACUUCAGGGAAAUUAGUUGCAUUGUUAUUGGGUGAACCUCCUGAGUUUUGUCUGUGAUUGAAGGUUCAGUAAAUAGUGUUACAUUA